UUCUUAUCGAGAGAGGCGGAGGGACAGGCCCGAUGAAGCCCGGCAACCGACUUCUUGCGCACCAUUGCUUAAUGCGAUGACGCUUGGAGUGACAUGGUGCUAAUUCCUUCAAAGCUAUGGAAUACCUUCAGCUUUGACAGAUGAGAA
rfam:Paenibacillus sp. Y412MC10, complete genome.